AUGUCAUACAAACUAAACUUGACCUUGAAAAUGCCUACCACCUCCCUCAACUCAGCUGAGAGCUUGUCACCUUCCAUGUCACCUUCUACCCAUAUGGUAUUAUUCUCACAGUACCACCAGCUGCUGAGUGACUAUAGGCCACCAUCCCUAGGCUACACCCAGGGAACUGGAAACAGCCAAGUGACCCCAAAGCAAAUGUGCUAAACUGCUGGCUAUCAUCCAAGAGCUGAGGGAGUGAUCAGAUCCACCUGUACAGGGAGCAAGAGCACAAUGAAGAGACCAAAACAAGUUAUCACUCAUGCUAAAGGACUAGUUUGGGAGUGCUUGGUUAAAACAGAAUGGAAUGCCAGAUUCUAA
rnacentral:lncRNA from 1 species